rnacentral:rRNA from 1 species
AAAGCUAAAAAGAGCGCAGGGCGAAUGCCUUGGCAUUGGGAGCCGAUGAAGGACGUGAUUAACUGCGAUAAGCUGCGGGGAGUGGUAAGUACACUUUGAUCCGCAGAUUUCCGAAUGGAGCAAUCCGGCUGAGUAAACCUCAGUCAUCAUAUACUGAAUAAAAUAGGUAUAUGAGGGAAACCGCCUGAACUGAAACAUCUAAGUAGGGCGAGGAAGAGAAAUCAACCGAGAUUUCCUAAGUAGUGGCGAGCGAACGGGAAAGAGGCCAAACCGAGAGAAGCAAUUCUUUCGGGGUUACGGACUGCAUUUAGCAUUGACCGAACUUAACUGAACUGUAUGGGAAGGCAGACCGAAGAGCGUGAGAGUCGCGUAAGUGAAAAGAGAAGUCAGCGAGCAGGAUCCAGAGUACCGCCGGACACGUGAAACCCGGUGGGAAGUCGGGGGGACCACCCUCCAAGCCUAAAUACUACCCAAUGACCGAUAGUGAAUAAGUACUGUGAAGGAAAGGUGAAAAGAACCCCGGGAGGGGAGUGAAAGAGAACCUGAAACCCUGUGCUUACAAGCACCUAGAGCACAUCAACGUGUGAUAGGGUACCUUUUGUAGAAUGGUCCGGCGAGUUAUGAUAUGCAGCAAGGUUAAGGUCUUAAGGACCGGAGCCGAAGCGAGAGCAAGUCUUAAUAGGGCGAAAAGUUGUAUGUCAUAGACCCGAAACCGGGUGACCUAGCCAUGUCCAGGCUGAAGUGGAGGUAAAGCUCCAUGGAGGGCCGAACCGACCCCCGUUGAAAAGGUGGCGGAUGAGGUGUGGCUAGCGGAGAAAUUCCAAUCGAACCCGGAUAUAGCUGGUUCUCCCCGAAAUAGCUUUAGGGCUAGCGUUGUAUUAGAUUACCGGAGGUAAAGCACUGAAUUGGCUAGGGGCCGAGAGGUUACUGAACCAUAUCAAACUAAGAAUGCCGGAUAAUUGAUGUACAGCAGUCAGACUACGUGAGAUAAGUCUCGUGGUCGAAAGGGAAACAGCCCAGACCCACAGCUAAGGUCCCGAAAUAGAUUUAAGUGGAGAAGGAUGUGGAGUUGCAUAGACAACCAGGAUGUUGGCUUAGAAGCAGCCACUCAUUAAAAGAGUGCGUAAUAGCUCACUGGUCGAGUGACUCUGCGCCGAAAAUUCAACGGGGCUAAAAUCUAUACCGAAGCUUGGGCUUGUAUCUGCUGAACAAAGUUAACUUAGAGGUUCAAAUUCUCGCGAAGCGAGUAAAUUCGCUUGUAAAGGAUAGAACCGAAAGCGAAGCUGACUUUGUUCAGUAGAUACAGGGGUAGGGGAGCGUUGUGUAAGAGGAGAAGUCGUAGCGAAAGCGGCGGUGGAUUUUACACAAGUGAGAAUGCCGGAAUGAGUAGCGAGAAUUAUGUGAGAAUCAUAAUGGCCGAAAGUCUAAGGUUUUAGAAGGAAGGUUCGUCCGCUUCUAGUAAGCCGGGAGCUAAGGUAAGGCCGAAAGGCGUAGCCGAUGCACAUACGGUAGAAAUUCCGUAGCCUCCAUCCAUUUAAGCACAGGGACACUUUUGAAGGGUUUAGCCGAGCGUUGGUUGCCUCGGUCGUAAGGGACUGCGAAUGAGCGGGAAGUAAACUUGGAAGAAGGCGAGAAAAGCUGU